rnacentral:rRNA from 1 species
CGGGGGAUAACUACGCGAAAGCGUAGCUAAUACCGCAUACGCCCUACGGGGGAAAGCAGGGGAUCGCAAGACCUUGCACUAUUGGAGCGGCCGAUAUCGGAUUAGCUAGUUGGUGGGGUAACGGCUCACCAAGGCGACGAUCCGUAGCUGGUUUGAGAGGACGACCAGCCACACUGGGACUGAGACACGGCCCAGACUCCUACGGGAGGCAGCAGUGGGGAAUUUUGGACAAUGGGGGAAACCCUGAUCCAGCCAUCCCGCGUGUGCGAUGAAGGCCUUCGGGUUGUAAAGCACUUUUGGCAGGAAAGAAACGUCAUGGGUUAAUACCCCGUGAAACUGACGGUACCUGCAGAAUAAGCACCGGCUAACUACGUGCCAGCAGCCGCGGUAAUACGUAGGGUGCAAGCGUUAAUCGGAAUUACUGGGCGUAAAGCGUGCGCAGGCGGUUCGGAAAGAAAGAUGUGAAAUCCCAGAGCUUAACUUUGGAACUGCAUUUUUAACUACCGGGCUAGAGUGUGUCAGAGGGAGGUGGAAUUCCGCGUGUAGCAGUGAAAUGCGUAGAUAUGCGGAGGAACACCGAUGGCGAAGGCAGCCUCCUGGGAUAACACUGACGCUCAUGCACGAAAGCGUGGGGAGCAAACAGGA